UGCAAGUCGAAGAAGAAAUCCGGGUGUAGCNAUACAUUCCGGGUGAGUAAAGUGCGAANGGGGUGAGUAACACGUAGCUAACCUGCCCUCGAGCGGGGGAUAACNUGGGGAAACUCGGGCUAAUACCGCACGACAUCCCGAUUGCAUAAGCAGUUGGAUCAAGGGCCCGCAAGGGCCACUGNAGGAGGGGGCUGCGGCCGAUUAGCUUGUUGGCGGGGUAACGGCCCACCAAGGCAGUGAUCGGUAGCCGGCCUGAGAGGGCGCACGGCCACACUGGCACUGAAACACGGGCCAGACUCCUACGGGAGGCAGCAGUGGGGAAUUUUGCACAAUGCCCGAAAGGGUGAUGCAGCAACGCCGCGUGAGGGAUGAAAGCCUUCGGGUCGUAAAGCUCUUUCGGCGGGGACGAUGAUGACGGUACCCGCAGAAGAAGCCCCGGCUAACUUCGUG
rnacentral:rRNA from 1 species